GACGAAGGUGGCGAGCGUUGUUCGGAAUCACUGGGCAUAAAGCGCACGUAGGCGGUGCCGUAAGUCGGGUGUGAAAUCCCUCGGCCUAACCGAGGAACUGCGCCCGAUACUGCGGUGCUUGAGGACCAGAGGGGUGCAUGGAAUUUCCGGUGGAGCGGUGAAAUGCGUUGAUAUCGGAAGGAACUCCGGCGGCGAAAGCGAUGCACUGGCUGGUUUCUGACGCUGAGGUGCGAAAGCCAGGGGAGCAAACGGG
rnacentral:rRNA from 1 species